rnacentral:other from 1 species
UAGUCCCUGCCGUGUUCGUGACUUGGCCAUACAUUCCUUGAACCAAUGCUUUUGGCAUAAAGGUUGCUGGAUUGACAAGCAGGAGCGUUCUUCGUUUACGAAGCACCCGAAACUUGACUGAAGGCGACCGUCUUGGACCCUCGGUUCCAGGAUGCCGGCCUUGACGGCACAGGCGGGGCAUUU